GAUGAACGCUAGCGACAGGCUUAACACAUGCAAGUCGAGGGGCAGCGCGGGAGUAGCAAUACAACUGGUGGCGACCGGCGCACGGGUGAGUAACGCGUAUGCAACCUACCUAUCAGAGGGGAAUAACCCGGCGAAAGUCGGACUAAUACCGCAUAAAACAGGGGCACCGCAUGGUGAUAUUUGUUAAAGAAAUUCGCUGAUAGAUGGGCAUGCGUUCCAUUAGGUAGUGGGUGAGGUAACGGCUCACCAAGCCGACGAUGGAUAGGGGAACUGAGAGGUUGGUCCCCCACACUGAUACUGAGACACGGACCAGACUCCUCCGGGAGGCAGCAGUGAGGAAUAUUGGUCAAUGGGCGGGAGCUUGAACCAGCCAAGUCGCGUGAAGGAAGAAGGAUCUAUGGUUCGUAAACUUCUUUUGCAGUGGAAUAAAGUGCAGGACGUGUCCUGUUUUGUAUGUACCCUGAGAAUAAGGAUCGGCUAACUCCGUGCCAGCCGCCGCAGUAA
rnacentral:rRNA from 1 species